CUUUGAAACUUAAUCAAAAUUUUAUUUUAAAAUGUUGAUUUUAGUUCCUCUUUGUGAGAUAAUCUUAUUCUUUUCGAUAUCAACUUUGGGGAUAUUGAGGUCUCGCAAAAAAAUAAAAGGUAAAAAGAGAAUUUAAUAAAUUAAAAAUCAAUAUACAUUAUGUACAACAUUAAAAUAGAUUUAAAUUACGAAUUUUUUAACCAAAACUCUUUGAUUAAAUCGGACCCUUUCUCCCCAAUCAUAAUAAUUGGCGCGUUUGUGUUGGCACUAACCAAAGUAGGCAUUAUGGAGCCAUCAAUCACCCUGAGGCCUUUAACACCAUAAACUCUCAGUUGAGGAUCGACAACGGCUUCUCUAUCCCAAUAAGGACCCAUUUUUGCUGUACCAACCUAAAAAUAUAAUUUAUUCAGGAUUUAA